UACAGAGGUCUCAAGCGUUGUUCGGAUUCAUUGGGCGUAAAGGGUGCGUAGGCGGCGCGGUAAAUCGGGUGUGAAAUUUCGAGGCUUAACUUCGAAACUGCAUUCGAUACUGCCGUGCUUGAGGACUGGAGAGGAGACUGGAAUUUACGGUGUAGCGGUGAAAUGCGUAGAUAUCGUAAGGAAGACCAGUGGCGAAGGCGGGUCUCGUGGACAGUUCCUGACGCUGAGGCACGAAGGCCAGGGGAGCAAACGGG
rnacentral:rRNA from 1 species